UCUAAUUUCUUGUAAAAUAAUAUUUAUAGAGUCAUCGGUAAAUAAUUUUUGUAAUGUAAAAGCUAAAUAAAUUCAUACGUACUAUAAUACAGAUAACCGGGAUAUGAAAUUUACUUUACAGUGACUCUUGGGCCCACAAGGAACAAAAGUGCACAAAGGUAGCAAACCUACAGUUUUUGGAGUAGUAAAGCCAACUAUAAUCCUUGACGAUAU
rnacentral:lncRNA from 1 species